CUCCAUUCCCGGCUCUCCUCGCGGCGCGGCUGGGUCGUUGCCAAGGCGAUAAGGGAGGGCGCCGCUAGCUCCUGAAGCGGGACGUGAACUACAUUUCCCAUAAGGAGCCUCGACGUGGGGCCGUUCAGACUUGGCCAAUGGCGGCCCAGGAACGGGAACGUUCGGGCGGGCCCUGCGUGGGGCGGGGCUUCCGGCGUCGGCUUUCGGCGCUGGCUUUGGGGCGGUUUGCGGCAGUGGGAUCAUUGGGCGGUGGGCGGUGUGGAGGAGUCUCCGCUGGUCCGCAGAAACGAACGAAGGCGCGAGAAUCGGGAAGUUCUGCCUCAGUGACCUGUACGCGUCCUAGCCGCAGUGAAUGUUGCUGAACCCCGGUGACCUCACAGUGGAGGGGCGGCCCCAUGGGGCCAUCGGACCGCGCCGCGCGGGGGCGUUCGCCAGGGCCUCCGCAGAAGCCCGCCUGUGCCCGCAACCGCCCCGAAAUUCUCUCCCUGGCACCGUGUCCGCUUUACGGAGCCCGGAGCAAGGCUCAGAAAAAUGUCCCAGCCAAAAACAUGGUACAUGCCUGUCAUCAGGCAAGUCUUCAAAGAGCGGCUGGGACCAGGGGCCGAGGGACCUCGUUUAGAGGCGGCUUAGGGGGAAGGUCAGCAGUUGUGUUUCAGUUGUGUUGGGUUUUCGGCGCCCCACAAUGCGGGCGACGUAUGGGCCACAGGUGUGGAUGCCAGGGACAGGUCGCCCUGCACAUGGCUGAGGCACGGUAGGCUUGUAGUCUACCCCAUAUCAGGCCAUGGUGAUCUCAGGUAUGGGGGCCUGGGAGAGGAGAGUGAGUACAUGGCUGAGUACGUCAGAGCACGGGGUCAGGGACACAUCAGGGGAGGACGCUGGCAGGAGAAUAACCGGGCUCCUGGGUGUCCUCCGCUGAAUUCAGACGCGUUCAUGUUAGAGCAGGUGGGCCUGCGUCCUCCCGGACGAACGGAGUUCUUAGGCAAGGUCCAGAGGAGCUUCUACCUGAAGUGGUGCUGGAGAACUUUGCACUCAGUGCUGGGUGAGACCACUGGCACCAUAACUCUCCCCAGCCUCAACUCUGGUUUUUUUCCUCUGUUCUUUCCAUGUUCCCCUUGGAAGUCGCUGUUGGUCGUGGCACUGAGGCCCAGAUCAUGCCACCUCCUCUAACAAGUGGCUGAGUGGACACCCCACACAUUCUACCCAAGGGCCGUGAGUGGCCAAGAUCGGGGCUCAGAAGUCUCUGAAUCUUCACAGCUGGUCACGUUCAGCUCGGUCACUUCCUGUAAGAUUCCAGGCACUGCAUGCACUGACAUGGGUGCGUGUGGGCCCACUGGGUCCUGCCUGGGAGCCUUCCCUGAAUGUUCAUUUUUUGCAGGUCUGUGUUUGUCUUGGAGUAAGGAUUAUUCUCGCUUGCUGGGGUCAUGGUGUUUUGGCCUCUCCUGGCCUGGACUCUCAAAAACUCAUCAUCCUUCAUAGGUCUGAAGGCUUCUACAUUCCCACCAGCAGGUGGACCAUAUGAACUCAAAACUAGUUGUGGCAGAGGGACCCUGAAGAGAUCUACCCCUGGUGAAUGCCCCCAGGAGUGGGCUGUUCUCACACCUGGUGCCCAGCCUGUGCCCUCGCAGGUCUUGGUGCCUCCACUCAGCUCAAUUCCAGUUUUCUGGCCAUGCCCCGCUGUGUCCCUUUCUCUCUCCUUAGUGCCUAGCUGUGCAAUGUUUGCCUCUCCUUAACAUGUCCUCAGCUGACCCCAUAUCCUCAGUCCUUGCAACCCUGUUCCUCAGUGACACCUGUGUAUUCUCUCCAGUGGAGACACAGGUGGGACACCCCCAAGCUCAUGGUACAUGCCUGUCAUCAGUACCCCUGGACUGUCAUGGUGGGUCAGUCUGCCCUAGGCUGGACUGACCAACCUGUUCAUUCCCCCACAGGAUUGCCCUUUACAGUUCAUGAGUUCCCCCAACUGGAGUGCAGACAAGAGCACUGAUUGAUGGACCAGGUAGACUUGAAACCAGGAAUAGCACAAAAGUUAUCAAAGAGGCUCAGCCAUGGAGAUUGCAAGCUGGGGAUGGAAGUAUCCCUGGAAUUGAGCUGUUCUCACACCUGGUACCUGAGUUAUACCCCUGGUGUCUGGGUACCAAGGUCACUAGCCUUGCCACUUUUCUAUGUUCCUGAUCCCCUACUAAACAGUCCACCUUUUCGCCUACUUCCCCUGACUCCUGUACCCUGUCCCCUCUUUCUGCCUAGUUUGAAGACACUGGUCAUCCCAUAACAUGUCCUGGGCUAAUACAUAUCCUCAAAUCGUUCUUGAAAAUCUGUUCCUCUUCCCUCCUCCCCCUCCCCCUCCCCCCCCCCCCGCUCUUUCCACGGUCUCCCUCUGAUGCCGAGCCGAAGCUGGACGGUACUGCUGCCAUCUCGGCUCACUGCAACCUCCCUGCCUGAUUCUCUUGCCUCAGCCUGCCGAGUGCCUGCGAUUGCAGGCGCGUGCCGCCACGCCUGACUGGUUUUCGUAUUUUUUUUGGUGGAGACGGGGUUUCGCUGUGUUGGCCGGGCUGGUCUCCAGCUCCUAACCACGAGUGAUCCGCCAGCCUCGGCCUCCCGAGGUGCCGGGAUUGCAGACGGAGUCUCGUUCAUUCAGUGCUCAAUGGUGUCCAGGCUGGAGUGCAGUGGCGUGAUCUCGGCUCGCUACAACCUCCACCUCCCAGCAACCCGCCUUGGCCUCCCAAAGUGCCGAGAUUGCAGCCUCUGCCCGGCGGCCACCCCGUCUGGGAAGUGAGGAGCGUCUCCGCCUGGCCGCCCAUCAUCUGGGAUGUGAGGAGCCCCUCUGCCUGGCUGCCCAGUCUGGAAAGUGAGGAGCGUCUCUGCCCGGCCGCCAUCCCAUCUAGGAAGUGAGGAGCGCCUCUUCCCGGCCGCCAUCACAUCUGGGAAGUGAGGAGCGUCUCUGCCCGGCCGCCCAUCGUCUGAGAUGUGGGGAGCAUCUCUGCCCUGCCGCCCCGUCCGGGAUGUGAGGAGCGUCUCUGCCCGGCCGCCCCGUCUGAGAAGUGAGGAGACCCUCUGCCUGGCAACUGCCCCGUCUGAGAAGUGAGGAGCCCCUCCGCCCGGCAGCCGCCCCGUCUGAGAAGUGAGGAGCCCCUCCGCCCAGCAGCCACCCCGUCUGGGAAGUGAGGAGCAUCUCCGCCCGGCAGCCGCCCCGUCUGAGAAGUGAGGAGCCUCUCCGCCCAGCAGCCACCUCGUCCGGGAGGGAGGUGGGGGGGUCAGCCCCCCGCCCGGCCAGCCGCCCCGUCCGGGAGGGAGGUGGGGGGAUCAGUCCCCCACCCGGCCAGCCGCCCUGUCCGGGAGAUGAGGGGCGCCUCUGCCCGGCCGCCCCUACUGGGAAGUGAGGAGCCCUUCUGCCCGGCCAGCCGCUCCGUCCGGGAGGGAGGUGGGGGGGUCAGCCCCCCGCCCGGCCAGCCGCCCUGUCCGGAAGGGAGGUGGGGGGGUCAGCCCCCCGCGCGGCCAGCCGACCCGUCCGGGAGGGAGGUGGGGGGGUCAGCCCCCUGCCCGGCCAGCCGCCCCGUCCGGGAGGUGCGGGGCGCCUCUGCCCGGCCGCCCCUACUGGGAAGUGAGGAGCCCCUCUGCCCGGCCAGCCGCCCCAUCUGGGAGGGAGGUGGGGGGGUCAGCCCCCCGCCCUGCCAGCCGCCCUGUCCGGGAGGGAGGUGGGGGGGUCAGCCCCCCGCCUGGCCAGCCACCCCGUCCGGGAGGUGAGGGGCGCCUCUGCCCGGCCGCCCCUACUGGGAAGUGAGGAGCCCCUCUGCCUGGCCAGCCGCCCCGUCCAGGAGGGAGGUGGGGGGGGGGGUCAGCCCCCCGCCUGGCGAGCCGCCCUGUCCGGGAGGUGAGGGGCGCCUCUGCCCGGCCGCCCCUACUGGGAAAUGAGGAGCCCCUCUGCCCGGCCACCACCCCAUCUGGGAGGUGUACCCAACAGCUCGUUGAGAACGGGCCAUGAUGACAAUGGCGGUUUUGUGGAAUAGAAAGGGGGGAAAGAUGGGGAAAAGAUUGAGAAAUCGGAUGGUUGCCGUGUCUGUGUAGAAAGAGGUAGACGUGGGAGACUUUUCAUUUUGUUCUGUACUAAGAAAAAUUCUUCUGCCUUGGGAUCCUGUUGAUCUGUGACCUUACCCCCAACCCUGUGCUCUCUGAAACAUGUGCUGUAUCCACUCAGGGUUGAAUGGAUUAAGGGCGGUGCAAGAUGUGCUUUGUUAAACAGAUGCUUGAAGGCAGCAUGCUCCUUAAGAGUCAUCACCACUCCCUAAUCUCAAGUACCCAGGGACACAAACACUGCGGAAGGCCGCAGGGUCCUCUGCCUAGGAAAACCAGAGACCUUUGUUCACUUGUUUAUCUGCUGACCUUCCCUCCCCUAUUGUCCUGUGACCCUGCCAAAUCCCCCUCUACGAGAAACACCCAAGAAUGAUCAAUAAAAAAAAAAGAAAAAAAAAAAAUCUGUUCCUCUGUGAGAUGGGCCUGAUCUCUCCCACGGGUGGAGCAGAGGAGUAGAGGGUCCAGGGCCUGAGUCUCCCAUAGGCUAAGUAUUUGCCCUGAGUCAUAAAGCCAGUGGGAGGCAGUGCUACAGUUUGAUUCCAGGAAGUCUCAGACCAAAGUUCUCUCUUAACCACUUACCUUUCCUGGGCUUAAUAGUUAGUUCAUUUAUGUUUUUCCUGGCACUACUUCAUUGGACCUCAUUUUAGUUUCUUCUUUUUUUUUUUUUUUUUUGAGACGGAGUUGCUCUGACACCCAGGCUGGAGUGCAGUGCCACGAUCUCACAGUAACCUCCGCCUCCCGGGUUCAAGCAAUUCUGUCUCAGCCUCACGAAUAGCUGGGACGACAAGCGCGUGCCACCACACCCGGCUAAUUUUUGUAUUUUUAGUAGAGUUGGGGUUUCACCAUUUUGGCCAGGAUGGUCUCCAUCUCCUGACCUCGUGAUCCGCCCCGCUCAGCCUCCCAAAAUGCUGGGAUUACAGGCAUGAGCUACCGCACCCGGCCCAUUUGUUAACAUUGUAAAAUGAAUAUUAGUACAUUAUUAUUAAUGUACAUUAUAUGGGUUUUCACAAAUGCAUAAAUUCAUGUAUCCACCAUUACAAUAUAGUACAAAAUACUUUUACUGCCCCCAAAAAUUACUUGUGCUACUAUUCAUUCCUCCCUCCCUCCCUCCCUCCCUCCCACUGAGUCCCUGGCAGUCACUGCUUUACUGUCUCUAUAGCUUUACCUUUUCCAGAAUGUCAUAAACUUGUAAUCAUACAGUAUGUAGCUUUUUCAGUCUGGCUUCUGUCACUUACCAAUGUGCAUUUCAGACUCCUCCAUGCCUUUCAUAACUUGGUAGCACAGUUAAUUUUAUUGCUGAAUGAUAUUCCAUUGUGUGGAUGUAACACAGAUUAGCCAUUUAUCUAUUGAAGGACAUCUGGGUUGAUUCAAGUUUUGAGCAAUUAUGAAUAAAGCUGCUAUAAUAAUUUGUGUGGUUUUCGCAUGGACAUAAGUUCUCAACUCAUUUGUGCAAAUACCCAGGAGUGUGAUUGCUGUAUCAUAUGGUAAGACUAUAUUUAACUUUCUGUAAGAAACUGCCAAACUGUCUUCCAAAGUGGCUAUACCAUUUUGCCUUUCUAUCAGCAGUAAACGAGAGUUCCCAUUGCCUCACAACCUUGCUAGCAUAUGGUGCUAUCAGUGUUUUGCAUUGUAGCCAUUCUAAUAGAUGUAUAGUAGUAUCUCAUUAUUGUUUCAAUUUGCAGUUCCCUAAUGGCAUAUGAUGUGGAGCAUAUUUUCAUGUGCCUAUUUGCCAGCUAUGUAUCUAUUUUUCUUAGGUGAGGGGU
rnacentral:lncRNA from 1 species